UAGAGUUUGAUCCUGGCUCAGGACGAACGCUGGCGGCGUGCUUAACACAUGCAAGUCGAGCGGAAAGGCCCUUCGGGGUACUCGAGCGGCGAACGGGUGAGUAACACGUGAGCAACCUGCCCCAGGCUUUGGGAUAACCCCGGGAAACCGGGGCUAAUACCGAAUAUGACCUCUGACCGCAUGGUUGGUGGUGGAAAGUUUUUCGGCUUGGGAUGGGCUCGCGGCCUAUCAGCUUGUUGGUGGGGUGAUGGCCUACCAAGGCGACGACGGGUAGCCGGCCUGAGAGGGCGACCGGCCACACUGGGACUGAGACACGGCCCAGACUCCUACGGGAGGCAGCAGUGGGGAAUAUUGCACAAUGGGCGGAAGCCUGAUGCAGCGACGCCGCGUGAGGGAUGACGGCCUUCGGGUUGUAAACCUCUUUCAGCAGGGACGAAGCGUAAGUGACGGUACCUGCAGAAGAAGCGCCGGCCAACUACGUGCCAGCAGCCGCGGUAAGACGUAGGGCGCGAGCGUUGUCCGGAUUUAUUGGGCGUAAAGAGCUCGUAGGCGGCUUGUCGCGUCGACCGUGAAAACUUGGGGCUCAACCCCAAGCCUGCGGUCGAUACGGGCAGGCUAGAGUUCGGUAGGGGAGACUGGAAUUCCUGGUGUAGCGGUGAAAUGCGCAGAUAUCAGGAGGAACACCGGUGGCGAAGGCGGGUCUGGCCGAUACGACGAGGGGAAA
rnacentral:rRNA from 1 species